rnacentral:misc_RNA from 1 species
GAUGAAGAACGUAGCGAAAUGCGAUAAGUAGUGUGAAUUGCAGAAUUCAGUGAAUCAUCGAAUCUUUGAACGCACAUUGCGCCCCUUGGUAUCCCGAGGGGCAUGCCUGUUCGAGCGUCAUUUCACCACUCAAGCCUGGCUUGGUGUUGGGCGACGUCCUCUUUGGGGACGCGCCUCGAAACGCUCGGCGGCGUGGCACCGGCUUUAAGCGUAGCAGUAUCUUUCGCUUUGGAAGUCGGGGCCCCGUCUGCCGGAAGACCUGCUCGCAAGGUUGACCUCGGAUCAGGCAGGGAUACCCGCUGAACUUAAGCAUAUCAAUAAGCGGAGGA